AGAGUUUGAUCCUGGCUCAGAUUGAACGCUGGCGGCAUGCUUUACACAUGCAAGUCGAACGGCAGCACGGGUGCUUGCACCUGGUGGCGAGUGGCGAACGGGUGAGUAAUGCACCGGAACGUACCCAGUAAUGGGGGAUAACACAUCGAAAGAUGUGCUAAUACCGCAUACGCCCUGAGGGGGAAAGCGGGGGAUCGCAAGACCUCGCGUGAUUGGAGCGGCCGAUGUCGGAUUAGCUAGUUGGUGGGGUAAAGGCUCACCAAGGCGACGAUCCGUAGCGGGUCUGAGAGGAUGACCCGCCACACUGGGACUGAGACACGGCCCAGACUCCUACGGGAGGCAGCAGUGGGGAAUUUUGGACAAUGGGGGCAACCCUGAUCCAGCCAUGCCGUGUGAGUGAAGAAGGCCUUCGGGUUGUAAAGCUCUUU
rnacentral:rRNA from 1 species